AGGCAUCGUCGUUGUCUUGUGGCUAAGUAUUUAAUCUUUGAUUAUGUCAAAGUCACCCCAUUCGUGGAUGUCCACGGCAUAAUUGGGGUUAAGCCACUUAGUCAUGAAGGCAAGUGAAUGCGCAACAAGGAAUCUCUAAUCCUCGAUUAGAGAGGAAGAAUACUCUAACAUAUGAUUCGGGAAUCUUCGGCCGAAGUAUCGAGCGUAAUAAAGGAAAGCGUUCCUAUACAACUCAAUAGAAUCAUAUAAGAAGGAAUAAUCACAUUAGGGGUUUGACAUAAUAUAUCCAUA
rnacentral:lncRNA from 1 species